UAAGUACCCCGAGGAAAAGAAAUCAACCGAGAUUCCCCCAGUAGCGGCGAGCGAACGGGGAGGAGCCCAGAGCCUGAAUCAGCAUGUGUGUUAGUGGAAGCGUCUGGAAAGGCGCGCGAUACAGGGUGACAGCCCCGUACACAAAAGCGCAUGUGCUGUGAGCUCGAUGAGUAGGGCGGGACACGUGGUAUCCUGUCUGAAUAUGGGGGGACCAUCCUCCAAGGCUAAAUACUCCUGACUGACCGAUAGUGAACCAGUACCGUGAGGGAAAGGCGAAAAGAACCCCGGCGAGGGGAGUGAAAAAGAACCUGAAACCGUGUACGUACAAGCAGUGGGAGCACCCUUUGGGGUGUGACUGCGUACCUUUUGUAUAAUGGGUCAGCGACUUAUAUUCUGUAGCAAGGUUAACCGUAUAGGGGAGCCGGAGGGAAACCGAGUCUUAACCGGGCGUUAAGUUGCAGGGUAUAGACCCGAAACCCGGUGAUCUAGCCAUGGGCAGGUUGAAGGUUGGGUAACACUAACUGGAGGACCGAACCGACUAAUGUUGAAAAAUUAGCGGAUGACCUGUGGCUGGGGGUGAAAGGCCAAUCAAACCGGGAGAUAGCUGGUUCUCCCCGAAAGCUAUUUAGGUAGCGCCUCGUGAAUUCAUCUCCGGGGGUAGAGCACUGUUUCGGCUAGGGGGCCAUCCCGGCUUACCAACCCGAUGCAAACUGCGAAUACCGGAGAAUGUUAUCACGGGAGACACACGGCGGGUGCUAACGUCCGUCGUGAAGAGGGAAACAACCCAGACCGCCAGCUAAGGUCCCAAAGUCAUGGUUAAGUGGGAAACGAUGUGGGAAGGCCCAGACAGCCAGGAUGUUGGCUUAGAAGCAGCCAUCAUUUAAAGAAAGCGUAAUAGCUCACUGGUCGAGUCGGCCUGCGCGGAAGAUGUAACGGGGCUAAACCAUGCACCGAAGCUGCGGCAGCGACACUCAGGUGUUGUUGGGUAGGGGAGCGUUCUGUAAGCCUGCGAAGGUGUGUCGUGAGGCAUGCUGGAGGUAUCAGAAGUGCGAAUGCUGACAUAAGUAACGAUAAAGCGGGUGAAAAGCCCGCUCGCCGGAAGACCAAGGGUUCCUGUCCAACGUUAAUCGGGGCAGGGUGAGUCGACCCCUAAGGCGAGGCCGAAAGGCGUAGUCGAUGGGAAACGGGUUAAUAUUCCCGUACUUGGUGUUACUGCGAAGGGGGGACGGAGAAGGCUAUGUUGGCCGGGCGACGGUUGUCCCGGUUUAAGCGUGUAGGUGUGUGUUCCAGGUAAAUCCGGUU
rnacentral:rRNA from 1 species